rnacentral:lncRNA from 1 species
UGUCACCCGUGUCACCCCUCACCCGUGUGUCACCUGUCACCUGUGUGUCACCUGUGUGUCACCUGUGACCUGUGUGUCACCUGUCACCCGUGUCACCUUUCAUCUGUGUCACCCGUGUCACCCCUCACCCAUGUGUCACCUGUGUCACCCGUGUGUCACCCCUGUGUCACCUAUGUCACCUGUCACCCGUGUGUCACCUGUGUCACCCCUGUGUGUCACCCCUGUGUGUCACCCUCCCGUCCCCUGCGUGUCCUCGGUGUCACCCGGCGGUUCCUGAUGUCACCUUUGUGUCCCCUCAGGUGGGAAGUGCAAGUGCCGGAGCAAGGCCAGCCGCCGCCACCCCCCAGCGGAGCUGUCACCCCUGGCAGGGACAGGAGCCACCGGCUCGCGCUGAGCUGUCCCCAAGUGUCCCCAAACGUCCCCGAGAGGUGACAGGGGGGAGGGCACGGGGACCUCGGGGAUGUCCCCAAAUGUCCCCAAGGAGGAGCAGGAAUAAAAAUGGGGCAAAAAAAGGAGAUUUUGGUCAUUGGGGGAGGGGCGGCAGCAGCGGGGGACAGCGGAGGUGACACAGGGACAUCGGGUGAGGGUGGUGGCACCAGGAGGUGACACGGGGACAUCGGGUGAGGGUGGUGGCACCAGGAGGUGACACAGGGACAUCGGGUGAGGGUGGCACCAGGAGGUGACACGGGGACAGGGCUGGGGACAUCGGGGUGAGGGUCACAACAGGAGAUGACACCAGGGCAGAGGUGACAUCAGUGGUGGCCUUGGGGACAUUGGGUGAUGGUGGCACCAGCAGGUGACAUGGGGACAUGGGAGGGGACAUUGGGGUGAUGGUGGCCUUGGGGACAUUGGGGUGAGGGUGGCACCAGGAGGCGACACGGGGACAGGG